rnacentral:rRNA from 1 species
AUGGCAUGGAUCUUCUUGGUGCUAUUGCCACUAGCUGCAUCGGCAGCCACCGCAUCUUGCUCCUUGGUGAAGCCUGGCUGCCAGGCGCGAUGCGGUGACGUUGACAUCCUCUACCCAUUCGGCAUCGGUGCCGGCUGCUUCCGCCGGGGCUUCCAGAUUGCAUGCAACAACAUGACCGGCGGCGGCGAGAAGCCGUUCCUGACGGACGCCAAGAUGCGCUCCGAGCCCAUACUCGUGCGGAACCUGACGGUAACCCCACGCGCGCAGGUCCGAGUGAUGGUGCCAGUGGCUUACCAGUGCUUCGACGCCACCGGUAACAAGACCUCCAGCUUCGACGGCCAGCUGAGAGUCAACCCGGUGGGCGUGUAUCGCAUCUCCGACACCGCCAAUGAGCUCUUCGUCCUGGGCUGCGACGCGUUCGUCUACGCCGGCAGAGGAAGUCGACGACGCCAAAAUCCAGAAUCAUACUCGUAUUUCAGCGGCUGUGUGGCCUACUGCAACAGUACCAAGAGCGCGCGCGACCGAAAGUGCAACGGCGUCGGCUGCUGCCGCGUCGGUAUCCCGCAAGCCCUCCUCGACACCAGGAUGACGUUCGGCGAUUGGCCGCAUGCAGGCAUGGACUUGAGCCCCUGCAACCACGCCUUCAUUGUGGAGAGGAAUCACUAUGUCUUCCAGGCCGCCGACUUGAAGAGGACGCCGGACCCGGCCAAGCCAUGGAGAAUGCCGCUUCGGCUCGACUGGGCCAUCCGCAACGGCAGUAACUCCUUGUCAUGCCCCCUGGCGAGAGAAUCACCGGGAUACGCUUGCCUGAGCAAGCACAGCGAGUGCGCGAAUUCCACCAAUGGGAUGGGGUAUUUUUGCAAAUGCAAGGAAGGCUACGAGGGCAACCCAUACCUUGAUAACGGAUGCACAGAUAUCGACGAGUGCAAACAGCCACAAUCACAUUCAUGCUUCGGCAAGUGUACCAACAUGGAUGGAUCUUUCGACUGCAGGUGCCCACGAGGAUUUCAAGGCAACGCCACGAAACCAUUAGGCUGUGUCAAGUCCAUACACACAGGUUUAAUCAUUGGUCUAUCAGUUUCAAGUGGCCCAACUAUUCUACUUCUGUUUAUCGGCUCAAAGAUAAUAAUUCGCAAGCUUAAACAUCAAAAGGAACAAAAGUUGCGACAGAGGUUCUUCAAUGAAAAUCGUGGACAACUGUUGCAGCAAUUGGUAUCUCAUAGGUCAGACAUUGCAGAGAGGAUGCUCAUCCCAUUAAAGGAGCUGAAAAAGGCCACAAACAACUUUCAUCCAACUCGUAAGCUUGGUGGUGGCGGGCAUGGUACCGUAUACAAAGGAAUUUUAUCAGACUUGCAUGUUGUGGCCAUCAAAAAGUCAAAUAUUGUGGUCAAGAGUGAGAUUAACGAGUUUAUAAAUGAAGUUGCCAUACUCUCACAAAUCAAUCAUCGAAACAUCGUAAAACUUUUUGGAUGUUGUCUUGAGACAGAAGUCCCUUUAUUGGCUUAUGAGUUCAUUUCCAAUGGAACCCUAUGUGAUUAUCUUCAUAAGACACCACUAAGAUCAAUACCAUGGCAAGACAUAUUAAGGAUUGCAGCAGAAAUUGGCAAAGCUCUUGCUUACCUUCACUCGGGUGUUUCCGUCCCCGUAAUACACAGAGAUAUCAAGUCUACCAAUAUACUUCUUGAUGAUGCUUUGACAGCAAAGGUGUCUGACUUUGGAGCUUCAAGGCACAUUCCUAGGGAUCAAACAGGGAUAACAACAGCGGUGCAAGGAACUUUAGGGUAUUUAGAUCCUAUGUACUUUUACUGUGGCCGGCUAACAGAAAAAAGUGAUGUUUAUAGCUUUGGAGUAGUUCUUGUUGAGUUGCUUACGAGGAAGAUGCCAAUUACAUAUAGAUCGUCCAAAGGUGAUGGGCUUGUUGCACAGUUUAUUGAACUACUUUCAGGAGGUAAAUUGGAAGAAAUACUGGAUCCACAGGUCAUGGAGGGAGGUAGCCAAGUUGAGGAAGUAGCUGCUCUAGCUGUGUCGUGCACGAAACUGAGAGCGGAGGAGCGACCAACCAUGAGGUUAGUGGAGAUGACACUGGAGGCCCUUCAAGGACCCAAAGAGCGUAUUCGGGUUAGGGGUGAUCUGCUGGCAAAAACAAAUGAGGGGAGUUAUUCGGCAAUGAGAUAUACAUCAUCUAUAAGAAGGACAAGCUCGGAGAACGUGAGCAGACAAUAUAGUCAAGAAGAAGAAUAUCUGCUGUCCGGGAGCUACCCUCGAUAG